rnacentral:rRNA from 1 species
AGUGAACGCUGGCGGUAGGCCUAACACAUGCAAGUCGAACGGCAGCACAGUAAGAGCUUGCUCUUACGGGUGGCGAGUGGCGGACGGGUGAGGAAUACAUCGGAAUCUACUUUUUCGUGGGGGAUAACGUAGGGAAACUUACGCUAAUACCGCAUAUGACCUACGGGUGAAAGCAGGGGAUCUUCGGACCUUUCGCGAUUGAAUGAGACGAUGUCGGAUUAGCUAGUUGGCGGGGUAAAGGCCCACCAAGGCGACGAUCCGUAGCUGGUCUGAGAGGAUGAUCAGCCACACUGGAACUGAGACACGGUCCAGACUCCUACGGGAGGCAGCAGUGGGGAAUAUUGGACAAUGGGCGCAAGCCUGAUCCAGCCAUACCGCGUGGGUGAAGAAGGCCUUCGGGUUGUAAAGCCCUUUUGUUGGGAAAGAAAAGCAGCAGGUUAAUACCCCGCUGUUCUGACGGUACCCAAAGAAUAAGCACCGGCUAACUUCGUG